rfam:Fonticula alba strain ATCC 38817 mitochondrial scaffold supercont2.211, whole genome shotgun sequence.
GAGUUUAUAGCUCAGUUGGUAGAGCAAUUGCUUUGCAAGCAAUAGGUCAUGGGUUCGAGUCCUGUUAAACUCC